CUCAGCUCCUGCUCCAGCGGCACAAUGUGAUCCACCAGCUAGGAGGGACGCCAAUAAGGCGUCCGAUAAGAUAAGUCUUAUAAAAUAUAUAGAUGUAUGAUAAUUGAGACUGAGCUAACAGAUGAGAAUCCUAGUCAUUGGCCAAGCAGCAAUGUAACUAAUACAAGUCUGUGUAUUCAUUUGGGCCUAACUCAGGCGGGCGGCUGGCAUAAAGCUCACACGUGGCAGUGGGGCUCAGGCGGCAUUUGGCGGAAAGAUUUAUCAUAACAUCUAUGUACCUACUUAUCUAUCAUCGCUAUAUAUAUAUAUCAUCUAUAUCAUCUAUCUAUCUACCUAUCUAUGUCUAUCUAUCUAUCCAUGUCUAUCUAUCUAUCUAUCUAUCUAUCUAUCUAUCUAUCUAUCUGCUUUUGAGAUGUAGAAGAGAGGGGAGAAGAGAAAAGCACAAGAGAGCUGCUUGGGGACCAAACCAGGAGAUGGCCACCAUUGUGUCAUCUGCAAGCGUGGGGCAUCGUGUGAUCUCCUCUACAGUGCAUUGCAAACCCUUUAGGGGCUACCCUUUGUCUGCUCCCUGUGAAACACCCCCGCCCCAGCCUGCUGUCUAUCAGGUAGAAUUUCCUGCACACUGGAUCCAACAUUCAGAGAGGUGGAAAGGCCACAUAUUUUAAUUAUCCUCUGUUAAGCAAUUUCCCUCCCUAUCAAGUCCAUUUUAUGCAUGCUGCUCACGGGUUUCAGUAGUCAUAAUGACUCUUUUGUUUUUCAGGAGGGAAUGUCAAAAUUAAGAGAACUGUAAAACCAUUCACCACCCAUUAUUUUUAUAAUUAGUAGGGGAUGGGCUGAGGGCAAGAUCAAGCCUCCAUAUUUUAGCAUCUUUUCUUUGGAUUUUUUUUUUUUUUUUCAGAUGACAAGGCUGCAUCGAGUCUCAUCUGACAAGCUAUUGUCAGGCAGAUGUCUUCAUUAAGUCUGUGUAGGAAGACGAGCACAUCAAAGGGAAGAAGCCAGCAUUUUCCUUCUGGAACUCUGCAUAGGAAUCAUAUAUUUUGGAAGAUGAUCUAAAGAAAACUAGUCUUCUGUUGAGCUGCUGCUGCUGCUGGUGGCGGUGGUCGAGGGCCAGGCUUAGCCAAGGAUAGUGAUGCGUGGACCAGGCAGCCCUAAACUAGAAGAGGGGGAGGAGCUACACUGAAGGCGUGCACCAUUUGAGGCUCCCCAGGACACACAGAAGUGGACAAGGAACAUACUUGCUGCCACACUGGUCCUAUUUGAUGUACCCCGUGAGGAAGUUGUUCACUCUAAGUUCAUUGCUGCUCUGGGACUGCUGCGUUUCAUUACAUUUUUCUUCAGCAAAGACAUGACUAUGGUUAAUCCUCACCAUUGAAUUGAUUGGACUUGGAAUCACUUAGAAGACACCUCUGGGGUUGUCUAUGACCUUUCUUAAUGAUGCUUUGUACCAUCAAGAAGCACCGAGCCUUAAGGAAGUGCCUCUCCUCUUAAUAUGAAAAGGCUUUUGAAGACUGCAGAGGCUGGGAAGACUGGAGCUGGUGGGAGUUCCUAAUUGAUAAUAUACCCCACAGGACACUUGUCUUUUUAAGGAUAGCAUUUCAGCAGCUAUCACCAGGGAGUGGUGGUGGAUGAUUUCGGAAGAGAAACCAAUGCCUUUAAAACUCUGAGUACUUAACAGUUGUAAAAUCAUGCCAUAGGCAGAAGAGAUGGCACACUCCUCUAGAUACAUCAUCACCCUGAAGUCUGAGGCAGGGCGGGUCUAAGUUGGAGGUCAGUCUAAGGAACACAGCAAGCCUGAAGCCAGCCUGAGCCAUGCAGAUCCUGCCUCAUAAACAAAAACAAGCAGGACAACAACAAAUGCACACAAAACUAAAAAAAAAAUUAUAAAGCAAAAAGGAGAGAAAUUAUUUGUUCAUAUGUCUCUUUUUGUACUUGCUCACUCAAGGGGGUAAUUAAUGUGUGGAGGCAGACAUCCAUGGCUCUGGGGUGAUCAACACAAGUUCGAAGCUAACCUGGGCUACAGGAAGUUCUAGAACUAUUAGUGGGCAGAGCAAGACCUUGUCUGAAUAGAUGAUAGACAGAUAGCUGAUAGAUAUACAUGAUUGAUAGAUGAUGAUGAUAGAUAGAUGAUAGAUGAUAGACAGAUGGCCUGGAGAGAUGGCUUUCAGUGGACAAAUGCAUUUGCUGAGAAAGCCUGAUGAUUUGGGUUCACUCCUCAUAAUCCAUAUGGUGGAAGAAAAAUGACUCCCAUAAGUUGUUCUCUGAUUUUCAGAUAUGUGUGCUGUGGCAUGUGUGCCCACACAUACAUGCACACAAAUAAAUGUUAUUAUUUUUUCUUCUUAUGAAGACCUAC
rnacentral:lncRNA from 1 species